CACCAGCAUCAAGAGUUGGACCGAUGUCCAACGCCAACCUGCCGUCCGGGCAAGGUGGCGCUCCGCAAGGGGGAUGUGGCCGCACCGGCAACCAAACGGAGCCCC
rnacentral:ncRNA from 2 species